CACGUAGGGCGCAAGCGUUGUCCGGAAUUAUUGGGCGUAAAGAGCUCGUAGGCGGUCUGUUGCGUCCGCUGUGAAAACUCGGGGCUUAACCCCGAGCCUGCAGUGGAUACGGGCAGACUAGAGGUAGGUAGGGGAGAAUGGAAUUCCCGGUGUAGCGGUGAAAUGCGCAGAUAUCAGGAGGAACACCGGUGGCGAAGGCGGCCACCUGGACGACAACUGACGCUGAGACGCGAAAGCGUGGGGAGCAAACAGG
rnacentral:rRNA from 1 species